CUCUCGGUUCAACAGGAAUGUUGGUGCCCACCCCGCCAAGCCUCAGGAGGAGUUAAUGAGAUCAUCUGUUUUGAGCAUCCAGCUUAGUGCCUGGUACAAAAUAAGCAAUUUUAAGGUUCCCUGCACACAGUUCAGUACAUGAAGAUUUUAAACCAGCAGCAGCGAUACCAGGGCGGGCCAUCUUGAUCAUGUUGCUUUGACCAGAACAUGAUACUUGCUCGGAAAUACGAAGCCCGCCUCCUCUGGGUAAAGCUCCCGACGGCAGGCCUCCUCUCAAGGCCCUGGCCCUGGUGGCCUCCAGAUCCCGCCAGCCUGUCAC